rnacentral:rRNA from 1 species
UACGGAGGGUGCAAGCGUUAUCCGGAUUCACUGGGUUUAAAGGGUGCGUAGGUGGGUCUGUAAGUCAGUGGUGAAAUCUCCGAGCUUAACUCGGAAACUGCCAUUGAUACUAUAGGUCUUGAAUUAUCUGGAGGUGAGCGGAAUAUGUCAUGUAGCGGUGAAAUGCUUAGAUAUGACAUAGAACACCAAUUGCGAAGGCAGCUCACUACGGAUUUAUUGACACUGAGGCACGAAAGCGUGGGGAUCAAACAGG